UAUUAUGGCCUGGCUGUAUUCUACAGUGCAUGUGUCUCCAGUAUGUUAGUGAUGCUACUGGAGACUCGGCUCUGUUGGAAUAACAACCAGGACCCAACG
ensembl:miRNA mir139 microRNA mir-139